rnacentral:rRNA from 1 species
CCUACGGGGGGCAGCAGUGGGGAAUAUUGCACAAUGGGCGCAAGCCUGAUGCAGCCAUGCCGCGUGUGUGAAGAAGGCCUUCGGGUUGUAAAGCACUUUCAGCGGGGAGGAAGGCGGUGAGGUUAAUAACCUCAUCGAUUGACGUUACCCGCAGAAGAAGCACCGGCUAACUCCGUGCCAGCAGCCGCGGUAAUACGGAGGGUGCAAGCGUUAAUCGGAAUUACUGGGCGUAAAGCGCACGCAGGCGGUCUGUCAAGUCGGAUGUGAAAUCCCCGGGCUCAACCUGGGAACUGCAUUCGAAACUGGCAGGCUAGAGUCUGGUAGAGGGGGGUAGAAUUCCAGGUGUAGCGGUGAAAUGCGUAGAGAUCUGGAGGAAUACCGGUGGCGAAGGCGGCCCCCUGGACAAAGACUGACGCUCGGGUGCGAAAGCGUGGGGAGCAAACAGGAUUAGAUACCCCUGUAGUC